GAUGAACGCUAGCGGGAGGCCUAACACAUGCAAGCCGAGCGGUAUUUGUUCUUCGGAACAGAGAGAGCGGCGCACGGGUGCGGAACACGUGUGCAACCUGCCUUUAUCUGGGGGAUAGCCUUUCGAAAGGAAGAUUAAUACCCCAUAAUAUAUUGAGUGGCAUCAUUUGAUAUUGAAAACUCCGGUGGAUAGAGAUGGGCACGCGCAAGAUUAGAUAGUUGGUGAGGUAACGGCUCACCAAGUCAAUGAUCUUUAGGGGGCCUGAGAGGGUGAUCCCCCACACUGGUACUGAGACACGGACCAGACUCCUACGGGAGGCAGCAGUGAGGAAUAUUGGACAAUGGGUUAGCGCCUGAUCCAGCCAUCCCGCGUGAAGGACGACGGCCCUAUGGGUUGUAAACUUCUUUUGUAUAGGGAUAAACCUACUCUCGUGAGAGUAGCUGAAGGUACUAUACGAAUAAGCACCGGCUAACUCCGU
rnacentral:rRNA from 1 species